rnacentral:rRNA from 1 species
UACGAGGGGGGCUAGCGUUGCUCGGAAUGACUGGGCGUAAAGGGCGCGUAGGCGGCAUACACAGUCAGAUGUGAAAUUCCUGGGCUCAACCUGGGGACUGCAUUUGAUACGUGUAAGCUAGAGUGGAGAAGAGGGGUCGUGGAAUUUUCCAGUGUAGAGGUGAAAUUCGUAGAUAUUGGAAAGAACACCGGUGGCGAAGGCGGCGACCUGGUCUUUAACUGACGCUGAGGCGCGAAAGCGUGGGGAGCAAACAGGAUUAGAUACCCUGGUAGUCCACGCUGUAAACGAUGUGUGCUGGAUGUUGGGAAACUUAGUUUUUCAGUGUCGUAGCUAACGCGAUAAGCACACCGCCUGGGGAGUACGGCCGCAAGGUUGAAACUC